AAUUGUGGUUAAAUAAAAAGAGGAAACACAAAACAAAAUGAUAAAGGAAAUAAAAAGAGCAAAAAAAAUUAAAGAACCAAAAGCAAAUCUGAAUUAAUGAUUAUGGGCUGCUCUCUUUAGGUACGCGUGCGUGUGGGCCGCAUCUUGAUGACACGCAUGGGCCGUCGCGAUGCAGUUGAUCACUGGUCAGCACACGACUCGCUAACGACCGGAAGGAAGGUCGGCGCCGGCACAGCCCAACUUGCACCCAAAUCAAAUCUGUUUCUCUCCCCACGGCUCUGUCCCCGUUCUCCGCACAUGCGAGCCGUCCAAUGAUCACUUGGCUUUCCACGCGCAUCUUGGCUUUCCAAUCCCUAUCCCUAAUAACGACCUUCAUGGCGGUGAUCACUUGGCUAGUGCCGUGUGCCGAGAUUCCUCCCCGGCGGGCCGUCCAAUGAUCCUACUACCCGUUCUGGCGACCUCGUCACUCCAUUCCUCUCGAAUGCAGAGAAUCAGCAUUCAAUCCAAGGCAGUGCACCCAAGCAACAAAUAACCUACAAUGCUACUCUACCGUCCUCACAGCUGACUUUGCUGAAAUCUUCCACAAUAUCUCUUGAAUUCCUCGCUCCUCCGCUUUCGAAUAAAAGCUACGGACUGCGACAUCGAUCCCCCCUCAUCCGGUACGGGUAAGCGGGUAGCCAUCAGCCACGCCUACUAGGGGUGCGGGGCAGGCUGACCUCUUUCGCCAAGAUUCUCAAUUCUCAAGUCUCAACUAGUAGUACUUGUCUCUCUGCCUAGCACCUCACGUUUCUCCAAUUCAGAUGCCGAAAUGCUACUGCUCAAGGUGCUGAUUUCGUUUGGGCCAAGACAAGCAGUCAAGUGGCGAUGUAACUGCUGAUUUGUUUCUGGCCACUCAAUUUUCAGAUGUGGCUACGGUAGUUUAAGUAUUUGUUGCUGGCCAGUCAAUUUUCAGAUGUGGCUACGAUAGUUUGUGUAAAAGUAUAGAGGGUUAAACUCGAGCAUGUGAGUUCUAGAGAUGUUGUAGAGGUGGGUUGUGCAUGGGAGUCUCCGGCCUCACUACACGGCAUGAGAACCAAAGUUGGUAUAUGCACCAAUCCCGAUGCUGUUAGCGUAGGAUUUGGUAUGAAAACCUCUUUGGGUUCAGUGCAAUUUUAACUUUGGACAAGUGAUCCUUCCUAGACUGUUGUACCUCUAUUAUGUACCUGGAGUUCUUCCUAGUUUACAUAAUUAGAAAUAAGAUUAGUAUACCGACCUACUCCAUAAUCUUCUCUAUGUCCCAUGAAUGAAUUUAUCAAAGUAGGGAACUAAAUUUCUGAGUGAAGGCGAGGACCUAUAUCUUAACUUAAUUUGGAAAAACGAAAA
rnacentral:lncRNA from 7 species